UACGAAGGGGCUAGCGUUGCUCGGAAUCACUGGGCGUAAAGGGCGCGUAGGCGGCCGAUCAAGUCGGGGGUGAAAGCCUGUGGCUUAACCACAGAAUGGCCUCGAUACUGUUUGGCUUGAGACCGGAAGAGGUUAGUGGAACUGCGAGUGUAGAGGUGAAAUUCGUAGAUAUUCGCAAGAACACCAGUGGCGAAGGCGGACUGACUGGUCCGGUUCUGACGCUGAGGCGCGAAAGCGUGGGAGCAACAGGA
rnacentral:rRNA from 1 species